GAUGAACGCUGGCGGCGUGCCUAAUACAUGCCAGUCGAGCGAACAGACGAGGAGCUUGCUCCUCUGACGUUAGCGGCGGACGGGUGAGUAACACGUGGAUAACCUACCUAUAAGACUGGGAUAACUUCGGGAAACCGGAGCUAGUACCGGAUAAUAUAUUGAACCGCAUGGUUCAAUAGUGAAAGACGGUUUUGCUGUCACUUAUAGAUGGAUCCGCGCCGCAUUAGCUAGUUGGUAAGGUAACGGCUUACCAAGGCAACGAUGCGUAGCCGACCUGAGAGGGUGAUCGGCCACACUGGAACUGAGACACGGUCCAGACUCCUACGGGAGGCAGCAGUAGGGAAUCUUCCGCAAUGGGCGAAAGCCUGACGGAGCACCGCCGCGUGAGUGAUGAAGGUCUUCGGAUCGUAAAACUCUGUUAUUAGGGAAGAACAAAUGUGUAAGUAACUAUGCACGUCUUGACGGUACCUAAUCAGAAAGCCACGGCUAACUACGUG
rnacentral:rRNA from 1 species